rnacentral:lncRNA from 12 species
GGGGAUACUGGGAACCUGUGGAGGUCACAGGAUGUGAGCCCAGGUGUGCUGGGGCCAGUAAGGGACUUGUACUGGGGAUACUGGGAACCUGUGGAGGUCACAGGAUGUGAGCCCAGGUGUGCUGGGGCCAGUAAGGGACUUGUACUGGGGAUACUGGGAACCUGUGGAGGUCACAGGAUGUGAGCCCAGGUGUGCUGGGGCCAGUAAGGGACUGGCACUGGGGGCACUGGGAGCUGCAUGGGUAGGACACCACGGGUGCUGGGACCAGUAAGGGGCUGGCACUGGGGACACUGGGAGCUGCAUGGGUAGGACACCACGGGUGCUGGGACCAGUAAGGAACUGGCACUGGGGGCACUGGGAGCUGCAUGGGUAGAACCCCACAGGUGCUGGGGCCAGUAAGGGACUUGCACUGGGGAUACUGGGAACCUGUGGAGGUCACAGGAUGUGAGCCCAGGUGUGCUGGGGCCAGUAAGGGACUGGCACUGGGGGCACUGGGAACCUCAGGAACCUGUGGAGGUUAUGGGAUGUGAGCUCAGGUGUGCUGGGACCAGUCAGGGACUGGCACUGGGGACAAUGGGAGCUGCAUGGGUAGGACACCACGGGUGCUGGGACCAGUAAGGGGCUGGUACUGGGGACACUGGGAGCUGCAUGGGUAGGACCCCACGGGUGCUGGGACCAGUAUGGCACUGGGCGUGCUGUGAGAAGCAGGAUGGGCACGGGCAAGCCCCGGAGGGACGGGCCCGGGGGGGCUCCAUCACCCAGGCGAGGAUUUUCCUUUGGCUCCGGCGCCGUGCGGAGGAUUUGGGAGAUUUGAGCUGGAGCAGAGCGAGGAUUAAUUUGGAUUAUUGGGAUAUUAGCUGCAAUAUUAGCUGGUUUACAGGGAUGAAGUCUCCGGGGCACAAACACCCAUCGGCCCCAAAUUAAAGCGCUAAUGAGCUGGAAUAAGGUGCGAGGGGAAACUGAGGCACGGACUGGAGCCAACCCUCGCCCCACGAUCCCCCCGGGGCCUCCAUCGCCCUCCCCGGGGCUUUUCCGAGUUCAUUUCGAAGCCGUCGCUCUCGCCCAUUUCGUUUCCUGCUUUGGAGGUUUCGCUCUUCGCUCAAAACCCGACGGGGAAAUUCCCUCCCCCAAAUUUGCUUCUGCUCGAUUUUCGGGCGGCCGCCACUCUCGGCUCGACAUCACCGCGGCCACCGGGCAGGGCCAGCACGGUCCUCAGCAGGGUGAUUCCCUGCCCCCCGCCCUGCCCAGGUGUGAUGGACGUGCAGGAGGUGCUCCUGCAGCUCUGGGGGGAGGUGGCCAGGCUGCAGGAGCUGUGCUCGGAGCAGGGGAGGCUCCUCCGGAGGCUGAGGGCCAGGAAGGGACCGGUCCUGGGUGAGUGAGGCUUGCGGGGUUCCCAGAUGAAACAUUUGGGUCAUCCCCACCUUUAUCCCGGCAAGGUCAUCCUCACUUUAUCCCGGCGGGGUCAUCCUCACUUUAUCCUGGCGGGGUCAUCCCCAUUUUUAUCCCGAUGGUGUCACUCCCACCUUUAUCCCGGCGGGGUCACUCCCGUCUUUAUCCCGGCGGGGUCACUCCCGUCUUUAUCCCGGCGGGGUCACUCCCGAUCCCCACCUUUAUCCUGUCAGGGUCAUCCCCACCUUUAUCCCGCAGGGUCACUCCCGUCUUUAUCCCGGCGGGGUCACUCCCGUUUUUAUCCCGGCGGGGUCACUCCCACCUUUAUCCUGCCGGGGUCCUUCCCACCCCCAUCCCGAUGCCCUCAGGACGUUCCCCUGGUGAGGGGAAGGGGCUUCGAAC